rnacentral:piRNA from 1 species
UGGAAAUCCGCUUGGGCACAACCCA